rnacentral:rRNA from 1 species
AGAAUCAACGCUGGCGGCGUGCCUAACACAUGCAAGUCGAACGAGAAAGUGGAGCAAUCCAUGAGUAAAGUGGCGCACGGGUGAGUAACACGUGACUAACCUACCCUUGAGUGGGGGAUAACCUAGAGAAAUCUGGGCUAAUACCGCAUAAUACCUUCGGGUCAAAGGAGCAAUUCGCUUAAGGAGGGGGUCGCGGCCGAUUAGUUAGUUGGCGGGGUAAUGGCCCACCAAGACUAUGAUCGGUAUCCGGCCUGAGAGGGGCGCGACGAACGACGACCUGGAACGUGAACACGGUCCAGACUCCUACGGGAGGCAGCCAGUGGGAAUUUGCGCAAUGGGGGAAACCCUGACGCAGCAACGCCGCGUGGAGGAUGAAGCCCCUUGGGGUGUAAACUCCUUUCGAUCGGGAAGAUAAUGACGGUACCGGAAGAAGAAGCCCCGGCUAACUUCGUGCCAGCAGCCGC